rnacentral:misc_RNA from 1 species
GUGAAUCAUCGAAUUUUUGAACGCAAAUUGCACUUUCUGGUAUUCCGGAAAGUAUGCCUGUUCGAGGGUCAGUUAUACUAAAAACGGUGUUGUUGCUUUCGGCGGUUGUGUGUUACGCAUCGGAAUUGAGUCGUUCUUUACCUAUGGUCUAAGUGACUUAUAAUUAUGUUUGAUUGUUGAAUGUAUUUAAAUGACUACUUACGUUAGUAAUAUCACAU